ensembl:miRNA
UUCGAGGAUAUUUGAGGGGAGGUUAUCCGUGUUCUGUUCGUGUCAUUCGUCAUGAAUAAUACAUGGAUAACCUCUUUUUGAAUAUCAGACU